CUGUCACAAUCAAUAGAUUUAUUCAUUCUUACUAUUUUCCUAUAGGGUACCUCUGAUUUUUAUUCUAUGUUCAUAUCCUUUUUGGUGCCUCAAUUUUAUCAAUUCAGGUAUUGGUCAAUAUUGGACUAUACUCGGACUGUUCUAUUUGUUUACUAUGAUGCUAUAAAUACCCAUGUUUUGGUCAGUGAGCCGGGGUCCAUUAGCACGCACUGCAGUAGUAACACGAUGUAUAGCUAAGUGUAUUUUUUACGGUAACCAUCUCCAUUAGGGGUUCCAGCAAGGCUCCAGCAAUGUCCCAGUGAUGAUUCGGCCAUAGUCACCAGUGUUCCGGUAUUGAACAUCUUACCACCCGUGCAACCUCCUUCGAGUAUUCACUUACUACGCUGGAAGCCGGUGGACGGAAGCCGUCAUCUUAGGACGUGGUACCGAAGGAGGACACAUUGGAGGAACACUGGAGGGACACUGCUGUCCAAUAUACCACCAUAGGACAUUGACGAAUCAGAUAUUAGAAACAUUUUUUUUGUUAAUAUUUUGUGUGUGUGUGAAUGUGUAUAUUUGUGAAUUUAUUGAUUUUAUAUAUAGAUAAAGAUUGUAAAUACUUA